rnacentral:rRNA from 1 species
AACAUGUCGGAGCAAUCUGAUGAUGACGAGUGGCGCACGGGUGCGUAACGCGUAUGCAACCUACCCAUAACCGGAACAUAACGUUGAGAAAUCGGCGCUAAUAUUCCAUGUGUAUAUUUUGUGGCAUCAUAGAAUAUAUAAAGAUUAAUUGGUUAUGGAUGGGCAUGCGUAUCAUUAGCUAGUUGGUGGGGUAACGGCCUACCAAGGCUGCGAUGAUUAGGGGUUCUGAGAGGAUAACCCCCCACACUGGAACUGAGACACGGUCCAGACUCCUACGGGAGGCAGCAGUAGGGAAUAUUGGGCAAUGGAGGCAACUCUGACCCAGCCAUGCCGCGUGAAGGAAGACGGUCCUAUGGAUUGUAAACUUCUUUUAUCAUAGAGUAACCGCAGGGACGUGUCCCUGCCUGCAAGUAUAUGAUGAAUAAGCAUCGGCUAACUCCGUGCCAGCAGCCGCGGUAAUACGGAGGAUGCAAGCGUUAUCCGGAUUUAUUGGGUUUAAAGGGUGCGCAGGCGGACCGGUAAGUCAGGGGUGAAACUUUACAGCUUAACUGUAAACGUGCCUUUGAUACUGUCGGACUAGAGUUUAAGAGACGUAAUUGGAAUGUGAUGUGUAGCGGUGAAAUGCUUAGAUAUAUCACAGAACGCCAAUCGUGAAGACAGAUUACGAACUUAAUACUGACGCUCAUGCACGAAAGCGUGGGGAUCAAACAGGA